rnacentral:rRNA from 1 species
GGUAGCACAGAGAGCUUGCUCUCGGGUGACGAGCGGCGGACGGGUGAGUAAUGUCUGGGAAACUGCCUGAUGGAGGGGGAUAACUACUGGAAACGGUAGCUAAUACCGCAUAACGUCGCAAGACCAAAGUGGGGGACCUUCGGGCCUCAUGCCAUCAGAUGUGCCCAGAUGGGAUUAGCUGGUAGGUGGGGUAACGGCUCACCUAGGCGACGAUCCCUAGCUGGUCUGAGAGGAUGACCAGCCACACUGGAACUGAGACACGGUCCAGACUCCUACGGGAGGCAGCAGUGGGGAAUAUUGCACAAUGGGCGCAAGCCUGAUGCAGCCAUGCCGCGUGUGUGAAGAAGGCCUUCGGGUUGUAAAGCACUUUCAGCGGGGAGGAAGGCGGUGAGGUUAAUAACCUCAUCGAUUGACGUUACCCGCAGAAGAAGCACCGGCUAACUCCGUGCCAGCAGCCGCGGUAAUACGGAGGGUGCAAGCGUUAAUCGGAAUUACUGGGCGUAAAGCGCACGCAGGCGGUCUGUCAAGUCGGAUGUGAAAUCCCCGGGCUCAACCUGGGAACUGCAUUCGAAACUGGCAGGCUAGAGUCUUGUAGAGGGGGGGUAGAAUUCCAGGUGUAGCGGUGAAAUGCGUAGAGAUCUGGAGGAAUACCGGUGGCGAAGGCGGCCCCCUGGACAAAGACUGACGCUCAGGUGCGAAAGCGUGGGGAGCAAACAGGAUUAGAUACCCUGGUAGUCCACGCUGUAAACGAUGUCGAUUUGGAGGUUGUGCCCUUGAGGCGUGGCUUCCGGAGCUAACGCGUUAAAUCGACCGCCUGGGGGAGUACGGCCGCAAGGUUAAAACUCAAAUGAAUUGACGGGGGCCCGCACAAGCGGUGGAGCAUGUGGUUUAAUUCGAUGCAACGCGAAGAACCUUACCUGGUCUUGACAUCCACAGAACUUUCCAGAGAUGGAUUGGUGCCUUCGGGAACUGUGAGACAGGUGCUGCAUGGCUGUCGUCAGCU